UGCAUCUGAAGCCUGACGAGGAUGAGAACCUCCGGGGGCAAGAGGUUCGACUCGAGCGCAGCGAGAGAACGUUGCGUCAGCAACGGCCCGCAGGGCGAGCCACGCAG
rnacentral:sRNA from 2 species